rnacentral:tRNA from 1 species
UGGGGCAUAGCGUAGUUUGGUAACGUACCAUCUUGGGGUGAUGGAGAUCGUGGGUUCAAAUCCCGCUGCUCAAAA